GAAAUCAACCGAGAUUCCCCCAGUAGCGGCGAGCGAACGGGGAGCAGCCCAGAGCCUGAAUCAGUGUGUGUGUUAGUGGAAGCGUCUGGAAAGGCGCGCGAUACAGGGUGACAGCCCCGUACACAAAAAUGCACAUACUGUGAGCUCGAUGAGUAGGGCGGGACACGUGGUAUCCUGUCUGAAUAUGGGGGGACCAUCCUCCAAGGCUAAAUACUCCUGACUGACCGAUAGUGAACCAGUACCGUGAGGGAAAGGCGAAAAGAACCCCGGCGAGGGGAGUGAAAAAGAACCUGAAACCGUGUACGUACAAGCAGUGGGAGCACGCUUAGGCGUGUGACUGCGUACCUUUUGUAUAAUGGGUCAGCGACUUAUAUUCUGUAGCAAGGUUAACCGAAUAGGGGAGCCGAAGGGAAACCGAGUCUUAACUGGGCGUUAAGUUGCAGGGUAUAGACCCGAAACCCGGUGAUCUAGCCAUGGGCAGGUUGAAGGUUGGGUAACACUAACUGGAGGACCGAACCGACUAAUGUUGAAAAAUUAGCGGAUGACUUGUGGCUGGGGGUGAAAGGCCAAUCAAACCGGGAGAUAGCUGGUUCUCCCCGAAAGCUAUUUAGGUAGCGCCUCGUGAAUUCAUCUCCGGGGGUAGAGCACUGUUUCGGCAAGGGGGUCAUCCCGACUUACCAACCCGAUGCAAACUGCGAAUACCGGAGAAUGUUAUCACGGGAGACACACGGCGGGUGCUAACGUCCGUCGUGAAGAGGGAAACAACCCAGACCGCCAGCUAAGGUCCCAAAGUCAUGGUUAAGUGGGAAACGAUGUGGGAAGGCCCAGACAGCCAGGAUGUUGGCUUAGAAGCAGCCAUCAUUUAAAGAAAGCGUAAUAGCUCACUGGUCGAGUCGGCCUGCGCGGAAGAUGUAACGGGGCUAAACCAUGCACCGAAGCUGCGGCAGCGACGCUGAUGCGUUGUUGGGUAGGGGAGCGUUCUGUAAGCCUGUGAAGGUGUGCUGUGAGGCAUGCUGGAGGUAUCAGAAGUGCGAAUGCUGACAUAAGUAACGAUAAAGCGGGUGAAAAGCCCGCUCGCCGGAAGACCAAGGGUUCCUGUCCAACGUUAAUCGGGGCAGGGUGAGUCGACCCCUAAGGCGAGGCCGAAAGGCGUAGUCGAUGGGAAACAGGUUAAUAUUCCUGUACUUGGUGUUACUGCGAAGGGGGGACGGAGAAGGCUAUGUUGGCCGGGCGACGGUUGUCCCGGUUUAAGCGUGUAGGCUGGUUUUCCAGGCAAAUCCGGAAAAUCAAGGCUGAGGCGUGAUGACGAGGCACUACGGUGCUGAAGCAACAAAUGCCCUGCUUCCAGGAAAAGCCUCUAAGCAUCAGGUAACAUCAAAUCGUACCCCAAACCGACACAGGUGGUCAGGUAGAGAAUACCAAGGCGCUUGAGAGAACUCGGGUGAAGGAACUAGGCAAAAUGGUGCCGUAACUUCGGGAGAAGGCACGCUGAUAUGUAGGUGAAGCGACUUGCUCGUGGAGCUGAAAUCAGUCGAAGAUACCAGCUGGCUGCAACUGUUUAUUAAAAACACAGCACUGUGCAAACACGAAAGUGGACGUAUACGGUGUGACGCCUGCCCGGUGCCGGAAGGUUAAUUGAUGGGGUCAGCGCAAGCGAAGCUCUUGAUCGAAGCCCCGGUAAACGGCGGCCGUAACUAUAACGGUCCUAAGGUAGCGAAAUUCCUUGUCGGGUAAGUUCCGACCUGCACGAAUGGCGUAAUGAUGGCCAGGCUGUCUCCACCCGAGACUCAGUGAAAUUGAACUCGCUGUGAAGAUGCAGUGUACCCGCGGCAAGACGGAAAGACCCCGUGAACCUUUACUAUAGCUUGACACUGAACAUUGAGCCUUGAUGUGUAGGAUAGGUGGGAGGCUUUGAAGUGUGGACGCCAGUCUGCAUGGAGCCGGCCUUGAAAUACCACCCUUUAAUGUUUGAUGUUCUAACGUUGACCCGUGAUCCGGGUUGCGGACAGUGUCUGGUGGGUAGUUUGACUGGGGCGGUCUCCUCCUAAAGAGUAACGGAGGAGCACGAAGGUUGGCUAAUCCUGGUCGGACAUCAGGAGGUUAGUGCAAUGGCAUAAGCCAGCUUGACUGCGAGCGUGACGGCGCGAGCAGGUGCGAAAGCAGGUCAUAGUGAUCCGGUGGUUCUGAAUGGAAGGGCCAUCGCUCAACGGAUAAAAGGUACUCCGGGGAUAACAGGCUGAUACCGCCCAAGAGUUCAUAUCGACGGCGGUGUUUGGCACCUCGAUGUCGGCUCAUCACAUCCUGGGGCUGAAGUAGGUCCCAAGGGUAUGGCUGUUCGCCAUUUAAAGUGGUACGCGAGCUGGGUUUAGAACGUCGUGAGACAGUUCGGUCCCUAUCUGCCGUGGGCGCUGGAGAACUGAGGGGGGCUGCUCCUAGUACGAGAGGACCGGAGUGGACGCAUCACUGGUGUUCGGGUUGUCAUGCCAAUGGCACUGCCCGGUAGCUAAAUGCGGAAGAGAUAAGUGCUGAAAGCAUCUAAGCACGAAACUUGCCCCGAGAUGAGUUCUCCCUGACUCCUUGAGAGUCCUGAAGGAACGUUGAAGACGACGACGUUGAUAGGCCGGGUGUGUAAGCGCAGCGAUGCGUUGAGCUAACCGGUACUAAUGAACCGUGAG
rnacentral:rRNA from 1 species